AUUGAACGCUGGCGGCAGGCCUAACACAUGCAAGUCGAACGGUAACAGGAAGCAGCUUGCUGCUUUGCUGACGCGUGGCGGACGGGUGAGUCAUGUCUGGGAAACUGCCCGAUGGAGGGGGAUAACUACUGGAAACGGUAGCUAAUACCGCAUAACGUCGCAAGACCAAAGAGGGGGACCUUAGGGCCUCUUGCCAUCGGAUGUGCCCAGAUGGGAUUAGCUAGUAGGUGGGGUAACGGCUCACCUAGGCGACGAUCCCUAGCUGGUCUGAGAGGAUGACCGGCCACACUGGAACUGAGACACGGUCCAGACUCCUACGGGAGGCAGCAGUGGGGAAUAUUGCACAAAGGGCGCAAGCCUGAUGCAGCCAUGCCGCGUGUAUGAAGAAGGCCUUCGGGUUGUAAAGUACUUUCAGCGGGGAGGAAGGGAGUAAAGUUAAUACCUUUGCUCAUUGACGUUACCCGCAGAAGAAGCACCGGCUAACUCCGUG
rnacentral:rRNA from 1 species